GAGUUUGAUCCUGGCUCAGGACGAACGCUGGCGGCGUGCCUAAUACAUGCAAGUCGAGCGAGCUUGCCUAGAUGAUUUUAGUGCUUGCACUAAAUGAAACUAGAUACAAGCGAGCGGCGGACGGGUGAGUAACACGUGGGUAACCUGCCCAAGAGACUGGGAUAACACCUGGAAACAGAUGCUAAUACCGGAUAACAACACUAGACGCAUGUCUAGAGUUUGAAAGAUGGUUCUGCUAUCACUCUUGGAUGGACCUGCGGUGCAUUAGCUAGUUGGUAAGGUAACGGCUUACCAAGGCAAUGAUGCAUAGCCGAGUUGAGAGACUGAUCGGCCACAUUGGGACUGAGACACGGCCCAAACUCCUACGGGAGGCAGCAGUAGGGAAUCUUCCACAAUGGACGAAAGUCUGAUGGAGCAACGCCGCGUGAGUGAAGAAGGGCUUCGGCUCGUAAAGCUCUGUUGGUAGUGAAGAAAGAUAGAGGUAGUAACUGGCCUUUAUUUGACGGUAAUUACUUAGAAAGUCACGGCUAACUACGUGCCAGCAGCCGCGGUAAUACGUAGGUGGCAAGCGUUGUCCGGAUUUAUUGGGCGUAAAGCGAGUGCAGGCGGUUCAAUAAGUCUGAUGUGAAAGCCUUCGGCUCAACCGGAGAAUUGCAUCAGAAACUGUUGAACUUGAGUGCAGAAGAGGAGAGUGGAACUCCAUGUGUAGCGGUGAAAUGCGUAGA
rnacentral:rRNA from 1 species